rnacentral:rRNA from 1 species
UUCUUCGGAGAGUUUGAUCCUGGCUCAGGAUGAACGCUGGCGGCGUGCCUAAUACAUGCAAGUCGAGCGAACCGAUUAGAAGCUUGCUUCUAUGACGUUAGCGGCGGACGGGUGAGUAACACGUGGGCAACCUGCCUGUAAGACUGGGAUAACUUCGGGAAACCGAAGCUAAUACCGGAUAGGAUCUUCUCCUUCAUGGGAGAUGAUUGAAAGAUGGUUUCGGCUAUC